GCCCUAGUAACGGCGAGUGAAGCGGCAACAGCUCAAAUUUGAAAUCUGGCUUCGGCCCGAGUUGUAAUUUGCAGAGGAAGCUUUAGGCGCGGCACCUUCUGAGUCCCCUGGAACGGGGCGCCAUAGAGGGUGAGAGCCCCGUAUAGUUGGAUGCCUAGCCUGUGUAAAGCUCCUUCGACGAGUCGAGUAGUUUGGGAAUGCUGCUCAAAAUGGGAGGUAAAUUUCUUCUAAAGCUAAAUACCGGCCAGAGACCGAUAGCGCACAAGUAGAGUGAUCGAAAGAUGAAAAGCACUUUGAAAAGAGGGUUAAACAGCACGUGAAAUUGUUGAAAGGGAAGCGCUUGUGACCAGACUUGCGCCAGGCUGAUCAUCCGGUGUUCUCACCGGUGCACUCGGCCCGGCACAGGCCAGCAUCGGUUCUCGCGGGGGGAUAAAGGUCUCGGGAACGUAGCUCCUCCGGGAGUGUUAUAGCCCGGGGCGUAAUGCCCUCGCGGGGACCGAGGUUCGCGCAUCUGCAAGGAUGCUGGCGUAAUGGUCAUCAGCGACCCGUCUUGAAACACGGACCAAGGAGUCAAGGUUUUGCGCGAGUGUUUGGGUGUCAAACCCGCACGCGUAAUGAAAGUGAACGUAGGUGAGAGCUUCGGCGCAUCAUCGACCGAUCCUGAUGUUUUCGGAUGGAUUUGAGUAGGAGCGUUAAGCCUUGGACCCGAAAGAUGGUGAACUAUGCUUGGAUAGGGUGAAGCCAGAGGAAACUCUGGUGGAGGCUCGCAGCGGUUCUGACGUGCAAAUCGAUCGUCAAAUCUGAGCAUGGGGGCGAAAGACUAAUCGAACCAU
rnacentral:rRNA from 1 species